UGUUUCAGCAUCCUGAAAUCGUCAGCUUGCUUUCUUGUAGCUUUUUCUUAUGAAUUUCACAGGCUGUUGCUAUGGUGAUGGGUGAUGACUCUGUGGAAGUCCUGGCUGGAGGCAAUGGCAUGCUCCGGAGGCAAAGUGAUGUGCAAAGGCCUUUCAAAGUGUGCAGAAGACCACAUCAGACAUGUUACCUGCACUGUGAUGGUCCUCCUUGGCCUCUGUGGUUCUGCACUCUCAUCUUCAAAGAACAGGAGCACCUGGGAAAAGGGCGGAGGACGUCCAUGCAGAGCAUAGCUCUGUAACUCUGCAACUCGUAACAUGUGACUUAUGGGGAUUCUCAUCUGUGAACGAAUCACAUCCUGGAAAGUCCUGUGUGCAGUUUGCCAGGUUUGUUGCUGGCCGCUGUGUGGCCUCCCUCCCAAUAGACCCUGCAUGGGCAGCGACGGCGGGCAUAAAGCCCAUCUGGUGCCAUCCACAAGAGAACACCAUGCUCUAGAGUGCCCCGCUCCACCUGAG